ensembl:lncRNA
UUGUCCUAUUUCAUUACUUUUCAUUUUCUUUUCAGAAAAGUUAAGUUUUAUGUUCUGUUUGAUGGAAAUAUAUGGAAUUUACUUAUUUGUUUAACAUUAGUUAUAGAACAAUGUUGUAUUCUAUUUUAAAAUGAAUGUAAUUUAUUAAGCUGAGUUUUGCUCUGCUGGCGGACAACACACUGCAGUACGAGCAAGGCUGUAGAAUUGCUUUUAUUAUGUAUAAAAACAGUUUAUUGUAUAGGUCACAGUCUACCAAAAAAAAUUAACAUUUAAGUAAAUUUACUUUUCAUUGUAGUACGGUAUAAUUUCAUAACUAUAUUAAUUUGUCUCUGUGGCAACCUAAAGUUGCAAUGACGGAAGCUCUGUAUUUUUGUAAAUGAUGUAAUUGUUACGUUUUCUAGAGCACUGUAACACACUAGAUUGUAUUGCCAGAAUCUGAACAUUUCCUAUUUUAUGGCAAAAUUAUAUACGACAAUAUUUUCAGUAUCAUAAUGCCUUUGUAUUACAGUAGUAUAUUCCUUUUGCAUUUGACAGCCUACCCAUGACACUUAAAUGUCUCUAAAUACAUGCUCUAAUCUAUUCUACCAAAAAUGAGCUCUCUAAAGUCCUCUUACAAAGCAUCCCUAGACUCAUAAAGGCAAGGGGAAACUCAAAAAGAUGUGUUUUGAUGGUUGUUCAGCUGUUUAGAAUUGCACUUUGUUCCCAGAAUAAAGUUAUUUUUACACUGCAGAAAAAGUAUGUUAAACAUGUAGUCAUGGGUAUGGCUAGUCUGGCAGUGAUACUCUUAAAUUAUUUCAAUUGUUCACCGAAGGCGUCUUUCACAACAACAAAAAAUGCUCUUUGAAAACGGAUGUUCAUUUUAAUGGUAAUUUCAACUCAAGUUCUGCUAAAUGUUUCCAAUGUUAUUAUAGCUAGAUACAGCUGUACCUGAAAGUUAGUUGAGAUUUUAGACCACCCAAUCAAAAGAGUUGAACAGUCAGAAUGUGUUCACUUUUACUGACCCAAUGGUAACAUGAUUCCUACC